ACCAAAACAAGACCAAGACGGUGUGAUGCACGGGGGAUACAGUCCAUUGUUGUGGUUUCGUUCAUUUAGUUUUAAAUUUCUAAGCAGUAUGAAGUAAGCUGCGUUUUUCGAACUGUCAUUUAUCUGCGCUCGUUUUGUUUUGAAAAUACAUAAUUUUGAAUGGCAACCGUGUUUUAUAAUAGUUUGCCUACUUGCAUGAUUUAACUUUUUAAUUCACAAAAAUAUACUCAAAAUAUGGUGUUUCAGUGCUGUGUACGUGGAUGUAAAACUGUUUCAAAGAAUGGUUUACAUAGCUUUCCAUCCAACAAAUCUAUGGCAGAGAAAUGGAUUACAGCCAUAAAAAGUGAUAAUUUAAAGGAUUUGUUGAAUGAAAAUAAACUGGCCCGUUCUUAUCAUAAAGUCUGUAAAAAACAUUUCGAUGAAAGCGAUUUUGCACCGAAUGGGAAGGAUAAAAGCGUGCUUGUGCCCAACUCAGUACCGAGUCGUUUUUUACCGUUACCAGAUGAAACUGUUCAUUGUGCAAACGCCGAAUCAUCGAAUCAACCAGCAACACCUUUGCCCAAAAGAACAGUUAACUCGGCCGAAACAUUAAAACCAUCUAAACCAAAACAACCAGCCAAGCGUUUGACC